rnacentral:rRNA from 1 species
ACGGGGUUGCAAUCGUUAUCCGGAUUUAUUGGGUUUAAAGGGUGCGUAGGCUGUUUGAUAAGUCAGCGGAGAAAUAUUUCAGCUUAACUGAAAGGUUGCCGUUGAUACUGUCAGGCUUGAAUAUGGUUGAUGUGGGUGGAAUGUGUGGUGUAGCGGUGAAAUGCUUAGAAAUCACACAGAAUAUCGAUUGUGAAGGCAGCUCACAAAGCCAUUAUUGACGCUGAUGCACGAAAGUGUGGGGAUCCAAAAG